GGGGCGGCGGAGAGCGGCUGGCUCCCUCACGGGAUCGGUGCUGUUCUUUCCGAAGUCACUAGUUCGCUAAAUCAACAAUGAUGUGUCCAGAGCAGCUCCCUUGAAAGUGGGCACAUAUGACCAGCAUCAUUAAAGGUACAGACGGGGCUGAAGUGAAAGCCUCCCACUUAAGAGGACUUCGGAUUAAAAAAAAAAAAAGAAAACAGCCAAUUUGAUAAUAAGUUAACUAAAAGGUCUGGGAAAGGAAAGUGAGGAUAUGUUGGAUUUGCAAAGCUGGACUGAAGCUGCAUCAUACCUGGUCACGUUCUCCACCUCCUUCUUCAUUAUAAUUGAAGACAUUUUCUCUAACAUCUUCCCAGCUUUCACGCUCUUCAGGAAUGUGGUAAAUUCCUCCUUUCCGAAACCCUGAACUUCCCCACUGACUCCACACUGUGUAGGAAACCAAGAGUGCUGAAAGAAAUAAAGACAAAUAUUUGUUAUAUGAUGUAUGACAAAGUAUGUUGCAUGAUAAGCAAGUUAUUAUUAAAUCAACUCUUAAUUUGACAACUAAA